GCAAUGCCGCGUGAGUGAUGACGGUCCUUUGGAUUGUAAAACUCUGUUGUAUGGAAAAAAUGACUAGGUUAGGAAAUGAACCUAGUGUGAUGGUACCAUACCAGAAAGCCCCGGCUAACUACGUGCCAGCAGCCGCGGUAAUACGUAGGGGGCAAGCGUUAUCCGGAUUUAUUGGGCGUAAAGCGUGUGUAGGCGGUUUGUUAAGUUUAAGAUUAAAGCCUGGGGCUCAACUCCAGUUCGUCUUAAAAGCUGGCAGACUAGAGUACGGUAGAGGCAAACGGAAUUUCUAGUGUAGCGGUGAAAUGCGUAGAUAUUAGAAGGAACACCAGUGGCGAAAGCGGUUUGCUGGGCCGUUACUGACGCUGAGGCACGAAAGCGUGGGGAGCAAAUAGGAUUAGAUACCCUAGUAGUCCACGCCGUAAACGAUGGGUACUAAGUGUUGGGGUUUCCCAGUGCUGAAGCUAACGUAUUAAGUACUCCGCCUGAGUAGUACGGUCGCAAGGCUGCAACUCAAAGGAAUUGACGGA
rnacentral:rRNA from 1 species